ensembl:lncRNA
AUGCCGCCCCUAAAACACCAUGGAGGACUACGACGUGUUCGUGCAGCGCAGCUUGUCCCGGCUGAGGAGGAGCAGGCAGGACCAGGAGGAGGUCCGGAGCGCCGCGGCUCCAUCCUCCGUCAUCCGCUUCUGCGGUCGAGCCAUCCUGCCCCCGCUGGUAAGACGGCGCUGUCAGACACACGGACAGAGCGUGGCUGUCCCCUCGCUGAUCUCGUGUUGUGUUCGCAGUUGUCUGAAGAACAGAGGCAGCAGAUGCAGGCGCGCAGAGAGGAAGCUGGCAGAGCUGCAGCCCGCAUGGAGCUGGAGAAGCAUCCCAGGAUGAGGCAUGUCCAGACGCUUUUACGCAGCGUUCAGCAGCUGAGGAAGACUCCAACGCUGGAAGAGCUGCUUCAGGAGUGUGAAGUUACGACCAAAUGUUCUCCUGGUUUUCCUCCUCCUCAGAGCAGCUCCUCAGACUCCCACAGUGAGGCUUCAUCUGGGAGCAAGCAUGGUCCUUCCCCAGAAUCUGCAGAGGAGUUGGAGAGUGGUUCUCCUUCUCCUCUGUCUCCCAUUUGUGCCUUUCCCACUCCCGACAAGCAAACCUGCUUUGAGGGUGGCAAAGCGGAUAGCCCCCACCAACCCGAGCCGCGCUCCCCCAGCGGUGGACAGUCAUCUUUCUCAGGGUACAUGAACUAUAAGAAGGUAGAAAUCUCUGUUUGCAGCCAGAUGGACCAACAUUCAUGCACCUUCAGCUCUUCUGGAGAAGCUAGCGGCGUGGGAGGGGGCUUCCUGCACAGCACCUCUAAUACAAUAGCCAUUCGUCCAGAUAUUAUCAGCCAUCCUCCCGUGGAUGGGGAGGAACUAGAGAGGAGUGGGCUGGAGUGGUCUGCUUGUGGAGCCUCCUCUCUCUGGGACUGUCUGCCAUCGGAGGAGUCUGGAAGUGUGGAGCAAACGGACGACGGUUCCUGCUCCGCGGUGCUUCAGUCCAAGGACGGAAAUGCGGAUGAGGGUUCGGUCGCUGAAGGAAGAAACGCGGCCGAAACUGAACCAGGAGACGGGAGAAGAUCGUCCGAAGAGAGGCCUCAUCCUCGGAGCCUCAAAGACUUGCUGAAGAAAUCCCAGGAGUAUCGGCGGCACCAGCGGAUGCUGAGGAACCAGUCCAGAAACAUCAAAACCCUGGAGGGGACCCAAGAGCUGCUGAGAACGCCAGCAGAAGAGCAGAGCCUCUCUGAUAAGGAGAAUGAUGAGCUCGUCUUUGGGAACAUGAAGGCUGCAGACUGGAGCAGAACCAAAGUGCAGGGAGGAACCCCGUCAGUGGGAACGUCACGGAAACCCAGGGAGCACUUUGAGAGAAUCCAGAGUGAAAUCUCUGGGAACAACACCAGUAUUGAAAUCCAGAGCUCUCCUGUAACCAGAAACGCAUCAGAGCUUGAUCUGGUUUCAAAAACAACCCUGAGAAAUAAGCUAAACUCUUCUCAGGAGUUCAUCAUCCCAGCCGACACCUCCCCUUUUUCCAAAGGAGCAGCUACGGUUCCGGCGCCCAGCCUCUGCUGCAGUCCCAGUCGGCUCAAAGACAGCUGCAUCAAACGUCCACAACCCACCGAAGGAGCGGAGACCUCCGAGGAGGAGCCAGGAGUUCAAUUCAUCGAGGCUCCUGCGGGCGCAGAGGAGGUGAGAGCAGUGUCAGCCCAAAGUUCAGGGCACAUCGAGCGCCUGGAGACCAGCCUGAUCUCAGAUCUGGAGUCUACGGCGAAGGAAAGUCUGGAACAAACUGAGAGGAACCAGAACUGCUGCUCAGACUGCAGUGGCACACAACGCAGAGACGGCCGGCAGCAGACACGGAUCCCCGUCUUAUUCCGAAACGCAGCUCCACGGGGAGUCUCUGUGCCGGCCGCAGGAGGAGGUCUCCCCGCCACAAAAUCCCCGUCUCUCAAUCAGUCGUUUGACGUGGAAAAGCCAUCCGGCCUCUGGCUCCAGAGUUUUGUCGGUCAGGCGGCACAUCUGACCCCAGAGAACGGGGGCGAGGAUCCGGCGGGGAAGUCGAGGGUCAAACGACGACUGGUGAUGCACGUGACCGAGCAGACGCCGGAGAGGAGGGCGGGCCCUGUCGUCAGACCCACCUCCAGCACUCCCACAGGUAAGAAAGCGCAGCUGCAGGUGCGUGCUUCAGGUCGUUCAUCAUUCAGGACGUUUGUUUCUCCCCGUUCAGCUACGCCGUCCUGGUCUGACGACCGAACGCCGGACCGGCUUGAAAGGAGUCCACCGCCCCGCCUCAGAGCCUCUGCAGUGAGGCGGGGCGGGGCGCGAUGCUUCUCCUGAUCCUUGACAGACGGGAAACGCUGCUGCUCGCCGUCUCAGACCAGCUUCUCCUGCAGUGGGGAGGUGUUCUCAGCAGAGAGGUCAGGAACUCUGCAGCUCAGUCUGCCUCCUGCUGAACUUACCCGAGAUCUUCGCCGUGACGCCUCUAAACGUUGAUUGAUGUCCGUAGCUAAAAAAAGAUUAGAAUUCUCUGUUAUUGCUGCACAAAACAUCUUCAGCUCAAAUGUUCUCCAGAGGAGAAAACGGUGGAGCUUUGUGAAUGAAGAAAUCCCACCAGUUUUACUGAAAAUCGUUUAAAAAAAAUUCAACAAAUGAAUCGCAAUGAAUUAAUUAUUUUUUUAUUACAGUAUUUGCUGUACUGUACUGUAUUUGCACUUAUUAUCUGCGAAUGAUCACAAUAUGAAAUCACACAAAACUUUACAUUUUAGAUGUUUAUUUUUUUGUAAAUGUUGUCAAUCUAUUAAAAAAAUAUAAUCAGAUUAAUCACUUUUGUGUUGUGAUUAAUCACUAUAAAACAAUGUUUUACUAGGUAAAUUUUAUAUGACAAUAUGCUGAUUUUUUUAACAAAAACAGGUCAGAGAGAAAUGUUUUCUUUCAUUUUUAUUGUCAGAAACGUUUGCAUUUAUCAAUUGUUAACCCAGAAGUGUAAAUUGUGUACAAAACACAUCAACAGUA